UGAGCAAUCUGCCCUUCUCAUCGGAAUAAGCGUUGGAAACGACGUCUAAUGCCGAAUACGACCUCCUUUCGCAUGAUCGGAGGUGGAAAGCUCCGGCGGAGAAGGAUGAGCUCGCGGCCUGUCAGCUAGUUGGUGUGGGUAAUGGCCCACCAAGGCGACGACGGGUAGCCGGCCUGAGAGGGCGACCGGCCACACUGGGACUGAGACACGGCCCAGACUCCGUACGGGGGNAGCG
rnacentral:rRNA from 1 species